AUAAAGAUAAGCUAAACAAGCUAAAGGGUUCAUACCCCUUAUAUAAGAGUCCAACCUCUUUCUUUUUA
rnacentral:tRNA from 1 species